rnacentral:rRNA from 1 species
UACGAAGGGGGCUAGCGUUGUUCGGAAUUACUGGGCGUAAAGCGCACGUAGGCGGAUACUUAAGUCAGGGGUGAAAUCCCGGGGCUCAACCCCGGAACUGCCUUUGAUACUGGGUAUCUCGAGUCCGGAAGAGGGUCGCGGAAUUCCCGGUGUAGAGGUGAAAUUCGUAGAUAUCGGGAGGAACACCGGUGGCGAAGGCGGCGACCUGGUUCGAUACUGACACUGAGGUGCGAAAGCGUGGGGGAGCAAACAGG